CUAGGCGGGAGAUCUGUGGUUGGUGACUUGGAUUGGUUCGUUGCUGGUGAUCUCCGAUUUGGACAUGGCUCGUUUGAGUCGUUUCCGUCUACAGAGUAGUGGUGCUAGUAGCCUAGUAGCAGUUCGUUGCGUUUCUGAGUGAGGCGUGUCGUGUUUAUUGCUUAUUCAUUUGUAUCAUACAUUGGACUGUGUUUGUGUCUCCUCUCUUGUGCCGUGAAUCCUACGAAUAAACAUGGAUGAUGUGAUCAUUCGUCACCAGCUCGUUUUCUCUGUUCAUUUACGUCUCAGAUCUUACCUGCGAGGCUAUUAAAAAUCGACACAAAUACAGAACUCGUUGCGCCUUGGAUGUUAUACGAAUGGGGACUUGAGACUCGAUUUCGGAAUCCUGUUCCCGCACGGGUAAAACACUAAACAAAGCAUAGCUACAUGUACCCAAGCGGUCGUGGCAGGAUCGGGCACGGCGACGACACUGGCAGGAGGUUGCGACCCAGAC
rnacentral:lncRNA from 1 species